UACGAGGGGGGCGAGCGUUGUUCGGAAUUAUUGGGCGUAAAGAGCUCGUAGGCGGCUUGUCGCGUCGACUGUGAAAACCCGCGGCUCAACUGUGGGCUUGCAGUCGAUACGGGCAGGCUGGAGUUCGGUAGGGGAGACUGGAAUUCCUGGUGUAGCGGUGAAAUGCGCAGAUAUCAGGAGGAACACCGGUGGCGAAAGCGGCGCGCUGGACCUCUUCUGACGCUGAGGCGCGAAAGCUAGGGGAGCAAACGGG
rnacentral:rRNA from 1 species